AUGUUUUUGUAUUUUGAUAAUCAGAAUAAAAAACCUGCACGACCCAUUAUGGCCUUAAAAGGAACUUCUCAGAAUCAAAGUACAAAUUCUGGAAAGAGCCUAGUGGGAAAUGCUAUCUUAAACCAUGAGGAGUUCAUCCUCCAUGAACGGACCACAUGCCUGAAAAAAAAAGAUGAGGUACAAGGAAGAACUGUGAUGGUGGUGGAUACCCCAAGUUGGUGGUGUGACUUCUCAGUACAAGAAACAGCUGGUCAGGAGGGAAAUCAGACACAGCAUCUCCAUGUGUCACCCAGGGUCUCAUGUCUUUCUCCUGGUAGUGAAAACAGACUCUGUGUUCAUAGAAAAGCAGAGGAGAGCCAUAGAAGAGCAUCUUGAGCUCCUCAGUGAGACCGUUUGGAGUCACACUAUGGUGCUGUUCACAAAGGGCAAAAAUGCAGGAAAUAAAUCAUUUGAGGAUCAUGUUCAGGCUUCAGGUAAACCCCUUCAGUGGCUCCUUGAUACCCAGGAAACAUGCAGUGUCACCCAAGUAAUGGAACUGAUAGGGAAAAUCGACAAAAUGGUGCAACGACCUUACAUGAUAUAGAGGACAGAAAGAGGGAAGUGGAGCUUAAGGAUCAUCAGAGACUGAUGGAGAUACACAAACAGAGAUCUACUCUGAAGGGUGAGUUUUAAAAUAAGGUACAUUACACACUUAAAAACAAAAUAUUCUUUAUUGGCAUCUAUGGAACAAUCAAUAGAACCUUUCCAUUCCACAAAAGGAAAAAGUGGAAUAGUGGAAUGGUGGAGAAGUUUCCUUAGAUGUUUAAAAUGUUCUUCCCACUAAGAAAAAAUGGUUCUUUCAAGAAUUGUUCACUGAAAAGUUCUUUGGGAAACCAAAAAGUGUGAACACUUUUUGGAACCUUUAUUUUCAAAUUGUAGGAUUUCAUUGGAUGCAUUUUAUUGUAAAACUCAAUCAUUCUAUUUCUUCCUCCCCUCAGUGCACUCAUCUCAUCAACAAAAUAUAAGAUUCAUUUUGCUUGGAGCAAAGGGCUCAGGGAAAAGCUCAACAGGAAACCGCAUUCUAGCAGCAGGAAGUGACCUAAGCUCAUACAGCAAAGAAGCGGAACACACAAUGCACGAAAGAAACAUUCACAGUGGCAGGAAGACAGGUAAAAGUUGUAGACACACCUGGGUGGUGGAUGAACUACUUUACCCAGAAUUCUUCAGCUUUUGACAAAGAGGAAAUUGUCAAAAGUGUGUACUUGUGUCCACCUGGUCCUCACACAUUCCUUUUGGUGGUACGGGUGGACAGGUCAUUCACAGAGAUCUACAGGAGAGCCAUUGAGGAGCACAUAGAGCUCAUUAGUAAGGACGUUUGCAAUCACUCUAUAGUGCUGUUCACCUUUGGAGACUGGCUUGGGGACACAACCAUAGAGCAGUACAUUGAAAGCGAAGGAAAGGCCCUCAAGUGGCUCGUGGAGAGAUGCUGAAACCGCUACCAUGUGCUAAACAACAAGAGCCUACGGAAUAAUUUCCAGAUCACCGAGC
rnacentral:lncRNA from 1 species